rnacentral:misc_RNA from 1 species
GAUGAAGAACGUAGCGAAAUGCGAUAAGUAAUGUGAAUUGCAGAAUUCAGUGAACCAUCGAGUCUUUGAACGCAAGUUGCGCCCGAAGCCACUAGGCCGAGGGCACGCCUGCCUGGGCGUCACACGCCGUUGCCCCCCCAUCUACUCCUUCGGGAUUGCGGGGGGCGGAUGAUGGCCUCCCGUGCGCCUCGCCGCGCGGUUGGCAUAAAUGCCAAGUCCUCGGCGACGCACGCCACGACAAUCGGUGGUUGCGAAACCUCGGUUGCCCGUCGUGUGCGGUCGUCGCGCAUCGAGGGCUCGAAAAAAUUGCCGGGUUCCGGCUCGGCUUUCAACGCGACCCCAGGUCAGGCGGGGUUACCCGCUGAAUUUAAGCAUAUCAAUAAGCGGAGGA